CUACGGGUGGCACCAGUGAGGAAUUUUGCGCAAUGGGGGAAACCCUGACGCAGCAACGCCGCGUGAGUGAUGAAGGCCUUCGGGUCGUAAAACUCUGUCAAGUGGGAGGAACCUAUGUAAGGUUAAUACCCUUAUGUACUGACGGUACCACUGAAGGAAGCAUCGGCUAACUCCGUGCCAGCAGCCGCGGUAAUACGGAGGGUGCAAGCGUUAUUCGGAAUUAUUGGGCGUAAAGGGCGCGCAGGCGGUUUUGUAAGUCAGAUGUGAAAGCCCGGGGCUUAACCUCGGAAGUGCAUUUGAUACUGCAAGACUUGAGUAUGGGAGGGGGAAGUGGAAUUCCUGGUGUAGAGGUGAAAUUCGUAGAUAUCAGGAGGAACACCAGUGGCGAAGGCGACUUCCUGGACCAAUACUGACGCUGAGGCGCGAAGGCGUGGGGAACAAACAGGAUUAGAUACCCCAGUAGUC
rnacentral:rRNA from 1 species